rnacentral:rRNA from 1 species
UACGAAGGGGGCUAGCGUUGCUCGGAAUUACUGGGCGUAAAGCGCACGUAGGCGGCUCUUUAAGUCGGGGGUGAAAUCCUGGAGCUCAACUCCAGAACUGCCCUUCGAUACUGUAGAGCUUGAGUUCGGGAGAGGUGAGUGGAACUGCGAGUGUAGAGGUGAAAUUCGUAGAUAUUCGCAAGAACACCAGUGGCGAAGGCGGCUCACUGGCCCGAUACUGACGCUGAGGUGCGAAAGCGUGGGGAGCAAACAGG